rnacentral:rRNA from 1 species
UACGGAGGGGGCUAGCGUUGUUCGGAAUUACUGGGCGUAAAGCGCGCGUAGGCGGCCUUCUAAGUCAGACGUGAAAUCCCCCGGCUUAACCUGGGAACUGCGUCUGAUACUGGGAGGCUUGAGUAUGGGAGAGGGAUGUAGAAUUCCAGGUGUAGCGGUGAAAUGCGUAGAUAUCUGGAGGAAUACCGGUGGCGAAGGCGGCAUCCUGGACCAUAACUGACGCUGAGGCGCGAAAGCUAGGGGAGCAAACGGG